UGAACUUCUCAAAGUCAUUUUGGAGUUGGGCUUUUUGUUGUGAUAUACAGUGCUUUGUCACUCUCACAACUGGCCUGAAAUUUGUGUCAAAACAAAAUGCAAGAAAACGUGUGGAUGCUUUGUUGCAAAAGACGAAAAGCUAAUUAGUUGACUGUGGUCAAACUUGCUGACUAGUCUUCCAAACUAAGCAUAUCUACAUUCAUA
rnacentral:misc_RNA from 1 species